rnacentral:rRNA from 1 species
GAUGAACGCUGGCGGCGUGCCUAAUACAUGCAAGUCGAGCGAACAGACCAGGAGCUUUCUCCUCUGACUUUAUCGGCGGACGGGUGAGUAACACGUGGAUAACCUACCUAUAAGACUGGGAUAACUUCGGGAAACCGGAGCUACUACCGGAUAAUAUAUUGCACCGCAUGGUUCACUAGUUAAAGACGCUUUUUCUGUCACUUAUAGAUUGAUCCGCCCCGCAUUAGCUAGUUGGUAAGGUAACGGCUUACCAAGGCAACGAUGCGUAGCCGACCUGAGAGGGUGGACGGACACACUGGAUGAGAGAAAAGGUAGAGACACCGAGGGGAGGAAGCGGUAGGGAAUCUUACGCGAGGGGGGAAAGGUUGACGGAGGAAAGCCGCGUAAGGGAUGAAGGUGCACGGAUGGGAAAACGAUGUAAGUAGGGAAGAACAAAUGUGUAAGUAACUAUGAAGAUAUUGACGGUACCGAAUCAGAAAGCCACGGCUAACUACGUG